GAUGAACGCUGGCGGCGUGCCUAAUACAUGCAAGUCGAGCGAACGGACGAGAAGCUUGCUUCUCUGAUGUUAGCGGCGGACGGGUGAGUAACACGUGGAUAACCUACCUAUAAGACUGGGAUAACUUCGGGAAACCGUAGCUAAUACCGGAUAAUAUUUUGAACCGCAUGGUUCAAAAGUGAAAGACGGUCUUGCUGUCACUUAUAGAUGGAUCCGCGCUGCAUUAGCUAGUUGGUAAGGUAACGGCUUACCAAGGCAACGAUGCAUAGCCGACCGGAGAGCGUGAUCGGCCACACUCGAACUGCGGCACGGUCCAGACUCCUACGGGUGGCACCAGUAGGGAACCUUCCGCAAUGGGCGAAAGCCUGACGGAGCAACGCCGAGUGAGUGAUGAAGGUCUUCGGAUCGUAAUACUCUGUUAUUAGGGAAGAACAUAUGUGUACGUAACUGUGCACAUCUUGACGUUACCUAAUCAGAAAGCCACGGCUAACUACGUG
rnacentral:rRNA from 1 species